UGUGUAGGCGGCUACGCAAGUCGGAUGUGAAAUCCCCGGGCUCAACCCGGGAAGUGCACCCGAUACUGCGCAGCUUGAGUACCGGAGAGGUUGGCGGAAUUCUCGGUGUAGAGGUGAAAUUCGUAGAUAUCGAGAGGAACACCGGCGGCGAAGGCGGCCAACUGGACGAGUACUGACGCUGAGACACGAAAGCGUGGGGAGCAAACAGGAUUAGAUACCCUGGUAGUCCACGCCGUAAACGAUGGGUGCUAGGUGUCACGGGCUUUGACUCCUGUGGUGCCGUAGCCAACGCAUUAAGCACCCCGCCUGGGAAGUACGGCCGCAAGGCUAAA
rnacentral:rRNA from 1 species